GCACAAUCAAUCCAUACACAGUCCUGGAAACCUCGAUCUACAAGGCGGUGACAGAGGCUUUCAUCAAAGAAUCCGCAGCCAGGAACAUAACACGAGUUGCAUCAGUUGCACCAUUCGGGGCCUGUUUUAGCACAGAUAACAUCUUGAGUACGCGAUUAGGGCCAUCAGUACCCAGCAUUGAUCUGGUUUUACAGAGCGAAAGCGUGGUCUGGACAAUAACAGGGUCGAAUUCAAUGGUUUACAUUAAUGACAAUGUGCUGUGUCUUGGAUUUGUUGACGGAGGGUCGAACUCGAGAACCUCGAUUGUGAUCGGAGGGCAUCAGCUGGAGGAUAAUUUGGUGCAAUUCGAUCUGGCAACUUCGAGAGUGGGAUUCAGUGGGACUCUGUUGGGGAGCCGGACUACGUGUGCGAACUUUAAUUUUACCUCAUGAACAUAUUUUACGGCUCAGCUUGCUGUGUUAUUUAGUCUGUGAUGUUGCAGUUUAUGACAUUCCAGAUAUGUAUUCGAGAAUAAAUUCGGGAUUUCUGUUAUUUAUCAUAUCUUCUACUUAAUAAAACGAUUGUUUGUAUAACAUGUUACGUACUCGUUUGACUAAUUUUAUUUUUUAAUAAUAAAUAGCUUAUUUAUUUAUUAGAAAAGAAUACAUAAAUAUGAAUUGUUUUUAUUAAAAUGUUUGAAAAAUAAGUAGAAGCCCCGAAACAAAAGUUAGUAUUCCUAAUUUUUUUAUAAGUGCUUCUCGAUUUUUUAAACAAACAGUACAAAUAAGUUUUUUAACUUACAAACCGGCUUAAAAGUGGCUGCCAUGAAAUGAGCACAUGUAACCUUACUUUAUGCAAGCAGCCUCGUUUGACUCUGCCACUUCACAGUUCACACAACUUCGGAUCCCCACAAAAUCAAUAAAAUAUUUGAGCUCUUUAAGGUUUAACAACAUAAAUAGACCCAGCAUUUCACAAACUCUGCAACACACCAACCAUGGCUCCUUCACUUCAAAUCACCUUAUUUUCCCUCCUCUUCAUUUUCACCAUCACUCAAGCUCAGCCAUCUUUCCGACCAUCGGCCCUAGUGCUUCCGGUCAAGAAAAAUGCCUCGACGCUCCAAUACGUGACCACGAUCCACCAAAGAACUCCUCUCGUAUCGGAAAAUCUUCUUGUUGAUCUGGGAAACCGGUAUAUGUGGGUUGAUUGCGAGACAAAUUAUGUUUCAUCCACGUACCGUCCUGUUCGAUGUGAAACUUCGCAAUGUACCAUGUCGAAUCCCGAUACAUGCAGCGAUUGCUUUAAUAGACCCCGACCAGGGUGCAAUAAUUUUACUUGCGGGGUUUUUCUUGAAAACUCCGUGAAUAAUAUUGCCAUGAUCGGUGAGGUUGCUCAAGAUGUUGUGUCAGUCAGGUCCACUGACGGGUCGAGUUCAGGUCGGGUUGUCUCCGUCCCGCAUUUUAUUUUUUCAUGUGCGCCGAGUUAUUUGCGACGAAACUUGUCUAGCGGUGCGGUAGGGGUUGCGGGUUUAGGAAGGAAUAAAAUUGGACUUCCUUCGCAAUUUGCUUCGGCUUUUAGCUUCAAACGGAAAUUCGCGAUGUGUUUAUCAGGAUCGCGAUCAUCGAAUGGCGUCAUAAUCUUCGGAAAUGAUCCGUACAAAUUUCUUCCGGGCAUCAUUGUGUCAGAUAAAACACUUACGUACACACCCUUGCUGACAAAUCCAGAGAGCACUUCGGCAAGCUCACACGGCGAGCCUUCGGUUGAGUACUUCAUCGGAGUUAAAUCGAUUAAAAUCAACUCUAAAAUCGUUCCAAUUGAUACCUCAUUACUAUCUAUUACCAAUGGCAACGGUGGAACAAAAAUUAGCACAAUCGAUCCAUACACAGUCCUGGAGAACUCGAUUUACAAGGCGGUUCUAAAGGCUUUCAUCAAAGAAUCCGCAGCGAGGAACAUAACACGAGUUGCCUCAUUUGCGCCAUUCGGGGCCUGUUUUAGCACAGAUAACAUCUUGAGUACGCGAGUAGGGCCGUCAGUGCCGAGCAUUGAUCUGGUGUUACAGAGCGAAAG
rnacentral:lncRNA from 1 species